AUAUAUAUAUAUACACAUCCACCCAUGCUUUCUCCCUUCUUAAACCCUUCUUUUCUCUCGCAUCUGGAGCGAAUAACUCGAUUUCGAUAAAAUCCGAAUGAAUUUGGAAAAGAGAGAGGAAAGAAGUGAUCUGACGCAUCACGAGACCUAACCUAACCUAACUUAACCUUAUCGAACAAAUACCAAUUGCCAGACAAAGUUCCCUCCUCUCUUCUUAACGAGACAUCGGAGAACGACAGUUACACACAUGCGCGCGCAACAGAGUGGGCGUAUGCACAUGCGCACGUGCGAGCCACGUUCUCGUGAAUACCGUAUCGCGUGACGUAAUAAAUUGUACGCGGUUUCAAUUUAAUUAAUUAGCGGGCAUAGGUGGUGGGGUUUAAAGCGAUUAAAAUGAAAAAUGAACGUUCGUCCCGCGAUAACGAGGAUUCGAGCGGGGUUCGCGGGAACGGCGCAAUAAUUUUGAAUUUCGUUUCCAACUCCCGCCCGAGAGGAGACAUGCGCGUGGAAAAUUUUGGAAAGAUCAAAUUUACACUGCGCACUUACGUAGUGUGAGUGCAUACGGAAAGUGGAGGGGAUGAGCGUCGUAUCGAACGUCGCCUCGCCUCGUCCCAUUUAAUUAAUCAUGGAAACGACGCGGAACCGUGGCUCGCGAUGUCCACUUUGUGUUUUAAUCGUUGAUCGAUUUCAUCGUUUAAUGAACAUAAUAGUAUUAGCGAUCCGUUUGGGGAGGGAAAAAUCGAAAAGGGCGUAAUACCGGCUUAAAUAUUUUUUUGAAACGAGUGUAUACGUACGUGUAUUUAUAUUUAUAUACAUAUUUGUGUAUUUAUAUUGAUUCUGGAGAUCGAAACGAGUGAGGAAAGCGCACGUGUGUCCGAUAAGGGUUGAUUAACGAGUCGUAAGCGUUUUGUGUUUACGUUGGAUGGAGUGAGUUUUUAUCGUUUCUAGAAUCCACCCUCUCCAAACGUGCCGCAUAUUUUUAUAAACACUUGUACAUAAUGCAAACGUGAUAAGAUAAGAAUAUUUGUUAAAAAGAGUCUGACGAUUCCCUGUAUAACAUUUGUCGUAUAACUUCUUCAGAAUCGAAUAACUCGGAAUAUAGAAAGAAGAGAAAGAGAGGUUGUGAAUUGUAUCCGGAUAUAAAACUAUCUCCAUCUUGGGAAAAAUUCGAAAUAUAUUUUAAAUAAACGAAAAGAUAUGAUAAUUUAUUGUCACAGUGACGUACAAUUCUUAGGAUCCAAAACUAUUUCCGUCUUGAGAAAAAUUCCUCGAGGAGAAAUUUUUAGCAAAAGGUUUAAUAAGGAUCUACGAUUUGCUCCACUUUGAGAAAAAUUCCAGCUGUGCGUUCAUCGUUAUCACGGUUAAUGGCUGUUGGAUUAAUAUUCGUCUGGAUCGAAAGCUAUUCCCAUCUUGAGAAAAAUUCCUCGAGGAGAAAUUUUUAGCAAAAGAUUUAACAACGAUCUACGAUUUGCUCCACUUUGAGAAAAAUUCCAGCUGCUUUGAAUACAACGAGCAAGAAAAUAUAAAUUUAUUAUUAUCACAAUCAACGGCUGUUUGUGUUGGCUGAAAACUGAAGUAAAUAAAAUGUUAAAACCGAUUUACCUGAAUGAAUUUAUUUAUUCAAUUAUACGUAAUUGCGCGAGAACAUUUGAAAUGUGUCGAAGAAAAAUAAAGAAAUAUCAACUGUAUAAUAGAAAUAGCAGUGUUGCUGGCAAUAAUAAAACCAAAUGAAAUUUUACUGAACUUUAAGUUCCAUAAGAGCGAGAAAUUUAGGCGAAAGAUUUAAUAACGAUCUACGAUUUGCUCCGCUUUGAGAAAAAUUCCAGCUGCACGUUUAUCGUUAUUAAUGGCUGCUGGAAUAAAUAUUCCAUCUUGAAAAAAAUUCUACGAGCAAAAAUUUCAAGAGAUGGAAUAAUCUGUGAAGAAAACAAUUGGUCCAGUUUGAGAGAAAUCGAAGCUAUACAUUUUAAGAGUAAAUAAAUAAAUAAGUAAAAAAAUAUCGAUGAAUAGACAUUGUUGUCUAAAAACUAUCCCCAAUUUAAGAAAAAUUCUAAAAUUUCACAAAUUUCGGAAGAUUCAAUAACAAAAUCUACGAUAUGCUCCACUUUGACUCGAGUUGUACGUUUAUCGUUAUCGUUAAUGGCUGUUGGAAUAAAUAUCCUGAGUCCAAAACUAUUUGAGAAAAAUUCCUCGAGAAGAAAUUUCAAGAUAUUUAAUAAUAAUUCAUAACCUGCUCCACUUUGAGAAAAAUUGGAACAGUUUUAAAUACGAGCAACAAAAAGAUAUCGAACUUCGAGUUCUAUAAUACUCUAAUUCGUUUAACAAACCAUUUUUAUAUUACCUCUUUAUAUUAUCGAGUUGUACGUUCAUCUCGAUUGUUGGAAUAAAUAUUUAUAAUGUCUGAAUCCAAAACCAUCUUUGAAAAAUUCCUCGAGGAGAAAUUUUUUCAAUUUUCAAGAUAUUUAAUUUAAUUUAUAAUCUGCUCAACUUUUAAAUACAGUCAACAAAAAGAUAUCGAACUUCGAGUUCUAUAACACUCUGAUUCGUUUCAAUUCGUUGGAAAAAAGAAAAACGGGAGAAUAUUAUGGUGAGUCAAUCACAAUUAAUUAAAUAAUUCGUUUAACAAACCAUUUUUAUAUCAUCGAGUUCAUCACGGUUAAUAGCUGUUGGAAUAAAUAUAUUCCGAAUCGAGAACUAUUCGAGAAAAAUUCGAGCUGUUUUAAAUACAACAAACGAAAAAUCGACGAAUUUAUUACACGUAUUUAAUUAUAUUAAUUUAACUCCGCCUAUCGAAGAGAAACGAGCAAGCAACUACGAAACAACGAUACUACUUUAAAAAAGAAUAACACGAAUAACCCUGCUGCUUCUUGCGCGGCAAUAGAAGAAUAUUAUCCAUCGAAUGAAUGGGCGCUGGAUGGCUUCGAGGCUGCGAUAAGACAAGGGCGCGACGCCCUCCUCCCCUACCAAAGGGCGCAAUAUCCUUUUUUUCGGUCGAAAGUAGCACGCCCCAUCGAGCUCCAUCGAGCCACCCUCGAGACGGUAUUACAAGUAAUUGUCGCCCUGGGGUGGCCUCUCCCUUCCUUCGUUCGAGGCCUCGAGAUGGGUAACUCGAAUGCGCAAGCUGGAUCGAGCCAAAAACUUGUUUAGAAUAAAAUAUUAUUGCGUAGAAAAUUUUUCUGUCUCGCAAAGUGGAAACCUAUAAAGAAAAUAGGAGAGACCCAUUCGUAGCCGGUUCUCGAGGGAGAAAGUUUCGCCUAACAAGUGGAUGAUUCACAAAUCAUCCCCAAUUCCCCAGUUCAGUUCGAACUUGCGGAAACUUGGUGCAGCUCCGAUCUAAUCUUUCGUUUCUUUCUUCGAGCUCGAGGGAAAAAUCGGGAACGAAAGCGAUCGGAUUUUUCUGCCGACGAUUCGAAAAUUGUCUGGUUGCGACAAUAUUUGGCGGUUUUCCUUUUUCCCCUUCCCCUGGAUGACUUCAUUUCCAGAGAAAAUUGAGUUUGGAACGGCGGGGGUCGGUUUAGAAUUACGCGGCUAAACGCGCGUGCGCUCCAUGAAUUUUCAAACUCGAUUCUCCAACGAGGAUCGUUUUUAUUAACUCUCCUCCGCUGGUAAAAAUUAUACAACGAACGCCUUCACACUUUCGAGCGCUCCGACUCGAGAUUCAGAGGGCGAUUUAGGCACAAAUUAAGGCACAAAGUUUGUACAUUUUAAUAUUUCAUGCACCUUUAAGCGUAGAGAAAUUUAUCGGAUAUUAAAGUCAGCAAGAUGCAUCCUCGGCUUGUCAGAGCAAGCAAUUUUCCUUCUAAUUAUUCGUUUCGCGCAUUUGUUUCAUUGAUAAGUUUAAAAAAUAGUUUCAAAGAAUCUAAUUUAUAUUUAUAUAUUUUCCGAUUUUUCGACUAUUGCUUUCACACUCGUUAUCCUUACUUUUUGCCUUCUCUUAUUUCUUUGUCUAUGAUUAAUCCUUUUGCGAAACUCGAAAACGCUGAGAAUAAUAUUUCUAUUCCCACGAUCGUCGAACUCAAACUCGUGGCAAUUUUUAUUUACGUGAUUUGAAUAUUUUAAAAAAUUCGCGAAUAAUACGCCAUCGAAUGGUUAGAUUUUUAUUGUCUCAAAUUGGAUGAUUCGAGCCGUGGAAAUAUUAUUUUCAAAGUUUCUGAGUAUGAGUUUUUGCAAGAAGGAAAUUUUAUUGGAAUUUUUUGACAAAAUAAGAAAAUCUUGGUAAUCAUCUUGACGAUCACUUAUCGAAAUAUCCCCAAAUUUCUUUCUUUAUACGUAAAGAACAUUUUACCAGUGAAAAUGACUGCGAUUUGUAUUAAAGAAAAAAUGAAACAAUAUUUAAUACUUUGCUUGCAAGAGUCGUCUUAUUUCUCAGAGGGGAAAAUAUUAAAAAAAAAAAAAAAAAGAAACAAUAAUGUCAUUUUGACUGGCAAGUUCUAUUGUUAAAUAAAAUAUAAAAGUUUAUUUUACACACGCGUGAAAUAACCUCUUUCCUUUUCCCAAAUUCCAGAUUUCAUACCGCCGUUUCGAAACUAAGAAGGGGCGAAAAUAAAUAUCGAUCCCAAUCUGGUUUAGUUAGGGGUUGAUCGUCGAUAAGGGAGACAAAGUGCGGCGAUUCGGGGGCCCAGAAACUUUUCGGUCCUUAUCAAGAUCCCGCAAGAUUUCUCCCUUGGAUAAGAGAACACGGAGUAACACGAAGAGAGAGAGCAAUCGGGCGACUUGGAAAUCUGGGAAAAAAUCCAUCCGGCCAAUUCUCCGCGAUAACGUGGACUCCAUCACCGCCCCUCCCCCUCCAAUGCAAAUUAUCGCUCCUCACCUCUCUGUAUCCUUCCUCGCUCCUUCUUUCGGGGGAAAAGGCGUCUUCCUCUUAUUCGAGAUGACGUAAUAAUAUAUCCACCUGGAUUUGAUUUUCUUUGUUAUAUUAUCGCGUGAAAAUUAGGGGCAGGGUGUGUACAUAUUCGCGAAUAUAUCUCGGAACGCUCGUUGGAAUUUUUUAAUUAAUUAAAAUCCGCUUGUCGAGGACGUAAUCGCGAAUAAGAUCGUUCACCGAUCGUAGGGCUAAUUUUUCUUUAUCCGGAUUCGGGUAAUUGGAAGGGCGAAAGAGGUCUUGGGGGGAGGAGGGGAUGGGGGGUGAAGAAGAUAAGGGCGGAAACGGGGCUUUCGUGACCGUGAGAACGGGGAGAUUUCGCGGUUAACGAACUUGUACGCGGGAGAAAUCCGAGAGAUAAGCGGAGGGGGGUGGAAAAUGGUCCCGAAACGACAAUAAAGCGAGCUUACGCAUCGACGAUAAUUAGCCGUCUAUCUCGGGAAUUUCGAACGGGGAUUGGAUGAAUUUUGAGGCAAUUGCUGUGAUAUUCGUCAGAUUCGUCUUGUUCGGGGCGAAGAUAAUGGAAAUCCAUUUUUUGUUUUUUUUUUUACGUUGUUUCGUAGGCUAUUAAUAUGUUCGCAUCGCGUACACGCUCCUUUCUCCGUGUUAUCAUGCAAAUUGCAAAAAGGGAAAAAUCGCUCGGAAUUACUUCCCUAAUUUCCAAUGCGUCUAUAUCUUUCAAACGUAUACGCAUUUCUGUGCAUCGACUAUUUCCAAUGCGUCGUGAAAUAUUAAUUUAGAUCGCUCUUGCUAUCGUCAAUAUAAACAAAAAUACAUAGGCAACAAAGUUUGUCAUUAGGCUCACCAAAAAUUGCUCGAAAUUAUUUCCAAGUGACGCGUUAUGCAUUCACUAUUGUAAUUAUGUCAUAACGUAACGAUAAAUACGUGGACGAUAAGUUUUGAAAUUACUACACGUUGCUUUUUAUAUUUAUCAAAAAAUUAUCAUAUUAAUUAAUUUCGUAUCAUAAUUAUUUUAGAUCGCUCUUAUUAAUAUAUAUAUAUAUAAACAAAAUUAUUUCCAACUACAUUACGCAAAUAUUUCAAAUACCGUCAACGAUCGAUAUAAGUUCCCACUUGUCAAGAAUCUUUAACCGUCACGCGCGCGUUAAGGCGAACGAAAGAAAUUUAAAACGAGAUGGCUGGUCAAACAAAUUAAUACAUCGCAGCCGAGGCAACGACAAGGCAACGUCGCUCCUCGGCCUCGCCGUGCUGUGGAGAGAAGAGUAGAAAGAGAGAAGGAGGAGGGGGGGUGUAUUUCCACCGUUUAUUUCCUCGGCGAUGCUCGUUUCAUCAGAGGGGAGGGGGCAGGAGCGGUUGUCCGGUCUCCUUGGUGACCGAAGGGAAACGCAAAACCGAGCCGCACACACACACACACGCGUAACGCCCAUCCUCCGUCCCUGCUCCCUGUUUGUAUUUCAUAUUGAUAGAGUAUUGAUACACCCCUUUCCUCUCUAUCAUAACCUCCUCCUCCUCCUCCUCCUCUUCUUCCGUCGUGACGAGAGCUCGCCAUCCCUCCCUCUUCCCUCCCCCCUCGAAUCCCGUAGCAGCGUAAACGUAAACGAGGAUGCCGUUUUAGUUAACGUUUCGAGGCAGGGUCACGUGUUUACUUUGUUCCGCGUUGUUGCACCUCGCUAAUGGCGAGCUCGUUGCGAUCUCUGCGCCGAAUGGGUUUCGGGAGAACGAGAUGGAAGGAGAGGAGUAAAGAGGGAAGAGGUAACGUGUGUUUGGAAGCGAGGAUAAUUUGGUCUGGGAAUAGAAACGAAGAAAACCCAUUCUCCCCGCGAGACGAGAAUCGUAUUGUUAUUCCGUGUUACGUACGUACGUACGUACCGGGUGUCCGGCGAGGCUCUGCCAGGAGAACUCGAGAUCGGCGAUGUUGGCCGGGACCGGAACGACGAAGUUCAUUGCGUACGUGUUAACCACUCCUUCCCUCACGUAGUACAACUCGGCCUUCAGCCCUGGAAAAAAAAAAGCAAAACAAAUGCGAGGUCGGUUGUAUCGAUCGUAGGCUGGCCGAUGAUCAAUUAUGGAAAGAGAAGGCGGUACGAGUUGAAAGUCUUCCUUUCUGCUCGUCUUUCCAAUGACACGUGCGCCACGUGUAAAACGUCUCCCUUCAUCGUACAGAGAAUGGGGAAGGGACGUUGACCAGAAUAUCGUUUAACGCACGCGCGAGCGAAAAACUAAUCGUCGAUUCGACGAUUUAUACCCCGACUUUGAUAAAUGUCCCUUCGCCACAUACCUUCGAUAAUGUAAAAAUAUCCAACCGAUAGCGGGGCCACACGUCCCGUAAAUCCGUCCUUCGAGUAUCAAUUUUCGUUUUUACUCAAUAAGAAUUAAAAAGAAAGGAAAAUAGAAAUUGAAUUCGAAAAAUUAUGAAUCGUAUAUCCGAAUAUAAUUCGCGUCAACACUCGAAUAAUAUUAAUCACGAAUGUCCGGAAAGCAGCGACAAAUCGCCGACAGUUUCGCCAUCUGACGGAGCUAGCGCGAGUUAACACCGUGACGUGUAAUUACGCGAGAGGGAGAGGGAAUAAUCCAUUCAAAACUUGGCCGAGCUCAAUUUUCAGUUUCCUGGGCGGUAAUUAUCCAGGCAAGGGAUACCGAGUUACGUUUAAUCUACGUCUCAUUUUAUCCUUAAUCCUUAGUUACAACAACGUUGUUCCGCAAGGAUUCCAACCCCCGAGACAUCUUGACACUAUCGCUUCCCUAACAAUCCGCUUCUGGUUCCAAACUUAUCCACCGAUUACGUUCGCGCGACAAGAUCUCGAUGGUGUGCGCGCGCGUAUAAGUAACCGUGCCUCUCUACUCGAGAGACAUCUCUGUUACAUUGCACGAAGUAGAUUAUACGACGAAUUAUAUCGAAUCUAGUUGAAUCUAUGAGAGUUAGUUUCUUCCGAUCCCUCUUCUUUUUUAUUUCGUUUUAUUAUUGGGUUUAAAAAAAAGGAAGAAAUUUCUAGAAAAAGUAAUCGCGAAUCUCCUCCAUUUUCUGCUCCAUGCUUCUCGUCGUUUUACAUCGAAUGUGUGAAGAAAGAAUAAUUGCGAAUUGAUUGUUAAUUGAACGGAUCACGUUAACUGGAGAGUUAGAACGGUGAAAUAAAGUGAUCUGCCAGAUUUAUUACAUAGAAUUUUUUUUUUUCAUUACGAAAAAUAAUUUAUACAUCUUAUAAGAGAAGUUGCGAGUUACGCGAGCAAGUGGAUUAAGCGUUUCGAGUCAGACGCGAAGAAAGUAGCGUACGUAAGCGAAAGUCGGGCAUAAUCCGAUAUCGGUAACAUUCUGGAAAUUUAACAUUCGGCCAAUUUUAUAAUAUUCAUCUCGUUUGAUAAGGAGAAAAGAAAUUAACGUAUAAUCCGUAGACGCGUUGGUUAGAUUAAUACAAAGUGAUAACAUUCCCAUUGCACAAUGCGAGUCACACGCGUGGUGUAUCCCCGACUCGAUUUGACGUCGUAUCAGGCUUGCGAUACAACGUCAAUCUCUACACUGAUUUAAUUUAGCGUGCUGUGCAUUUCUAGAAUCAGAUUUGCCGCCUCCCUCGCACAAUGAAAUUUCAAUUAAAAUUUAAAUGGAACGUUUCCCAAUAUAAACGAAUAUUUUACGUCAAAUCCAGAUAUUCUUAUUAACGAAAAUGGUAAAAAAAAAUAUGUAUAUGUAUAUAUAUAUAUAGAACACUUUUCCAAAAAUCUCCAUCUAAAUUAUUUUUUUCCUUUCUUUUCGAAAUGUAUCCGAAUAAAAUGACUCGAAUAUUAAGGAAUGCUCGAUAUAUUCGAAACGCAAUACAGUCGAAAUUAACGAUUAUUCCUUAACGAAAUUCCAAAAAUAUCUCGAUUAAUAUAUCAUUUUUCUGUAACGAAUCAAACGAAUCGAUAUACUCGAUCCUCGAACGAGUUUCACAAUAAAUUAAUUUAUUUUUCUUCAGAUAAAACACUCCAUCAUUUCUCAUUCCAAAAAAAAAAAAAAGAAAAUGGAGAUAUGACAAAAUUAAACUUUAAAGUACGAAUCGAAAGGAAUGCGUAUCCUUCGAUAUAACCCAGAUUACUCUUUAAAAAUAUCUUCGAGAAAAUAACCCAUCGCUUUUCUCGAUCCAAAUCCUACGACUGCUCCAGCAAAAAAAAAAAUGGAGAUAUAUAAUAGAAUUAAACUUUAAAAUACGAAUGAGUAUUUGGAAUUCGAGCAGUAUUAAAUAAGAAGAUGCAGAGUGGAUUAAACUCCAAAUUAUUCCUUAACGAAAACGGUAAAAGUAUUUUUAAGCAGUUUUCCUUCAAGUUCGAUAAAACAUCCGAUCCAUAUCACUUUUCUCAUUCCAAUGAAAAAGAAAAAAAAAAAGAAAGAAAAAUAGAAGCGAAGAUGUAACAAUAAUAAGAUAUAAUAUUAAUUAAUAUAAUAAAAUUCUUUUUCUAUCCCUCCAACGAAAAAGAAGAGAAAAAAGAAAAAAAGAAACGGAGAUAUAAUAUUUUAAAUUUUAAAUCCAAAUUAACGAUAUUCGUUUUUUAAGCAAUUCUUCGAUAAAAGACCCUAUCAUCUUUCACGGUCAAAAUUCUACGACUUUUUCUAUCCCCCCAAAAAGAAAAGAAAAAAGAAACGGAGAUACAAUGUAAUAAAAUUAAACUUUAAAUCCAAAUUAACGAUAAUCCAUCACUUUUCUCAAUCAAAAUUCCUACGACUUUUGCUACCGCUCCAACGAAAGAAAAACCAAAAAAUAAAAAUGGAGAUAUAUUAAAAUAAAGUACGAACGCAUAUCUGCAAUUUGAAUCCAGACUUAUCCCAAUAUAAUCCAAAUUAAAACCCUAUCACUUUUCUCGAUCAAAAUCCCUACGACUUUUCCAAAAGGAAAAGAAAAAAAAAAAAGAAACGGAGAUAUAAUGCGAUAAAAUUAAACUUUUAAAGUACGAAUACGUGUCUACGAAUCCGAGUCUCGCGCAGCAGCGAUAAGAAGACGCGGAGUGUAUUAAACCCACGUCCAAGGCAUCAAUCGGAAUUGCUAAUCCGAAUUAAACGGUUACCCCUUCGCAUAAACUUUGGCGAAAUGCAUCUGGAUGAUCCGAGUUGUAGGGGCGAGGGGAGGAAGGAGAGGGUCCCAGCGUUACAUUUAAGAUGCAACCACUCCCUCGACAUUAGCGGUCUUAGAUAGAUAGAUGGAGCGAGGUAAGGAGAAGCUGGUGGUUGCUCGCUGCCCGUUCAUACGGCAGACAUGAUUCUCUACUUAGCGCAGCCAGAAGAGGCGGCCCAUCGACUCUCCGCACCCCAUAAACCCAUCUUCUGCUGCUUUCCAUCCUCCCUUCCCCCUCCCUCCUCCUCCUCCUCCUCCCCCUCCUCCUCCGCCCGUUUCAGUUUCCAGCCUCGUGGGAGAGGAGGGGACUACACCCUUCCCCGUCGUUCCUCCGAUUUUUCAUUUCGAAAUAUCGAGAGGCAAAUUGAUAGAUCGCUAUCUGACCCCGUCAGCUGUCAAAUUCCCUGGAUGGGGGUAUUUAUGGGGAGGGGGAACUCGAGUGGAACGUUUGCUCGAUUGUUCGCCUCUUCUUGCGGGGAAGAAUGGCGGCCGCCUAGCCUUUAAGCAUCGUAUUCCUUAGCGAAGCGAAUUUCGUUUGUGAACACAUAUCGGAUUCCGACCUUCGAUUCCGCGGGAUUAAGAAGCGUGGUUGAGAAAUUCCCUUCGCUCGGUGUAUAUACGAAUUUUUCGAAUUUUCAGACCGAACGCGAAGUCGACUUGAGCAUCGUGCGAAUCCUAUCGAGAUAAAAAACGAUGCCUUUUGGAUCGUAUUGCGAAGCGUAUUUGCGAAAUUCCUUUUUUCAAAUUUUCCGAUCCAACACGAACGAACGAUACCUUUCGAUACGAGCGUGGUUCAGAGAGCGAAAUUCCCUUUGCUCGAUAUACGUAUAUUCGAAUUUUUGAAAUGGUUGGACCCAACGCGAAUGGGAAAUUUUUCGUCGACUUGAGAAUCGUGUCGAAGUAAAAGCGAUGCCUUCGGAUGCGAAGCGUAUUUGCAAAAUUCCCCUCUCUUCGCUGCUUGUAUUUCCGAACUUUUCCGAAACUUCAGUUCCACGAAUGAACGACGCCUUUCGACACGAAGCAUACUUAAGACAGCGAAAUUCCAGCUUUCAGAUCCAAUCGUAUCGAAAUAAGAACGAAUCCCCUUUUUAAACGGAUCAAAUUCGUCUCCCUUGAUUUCUUUAAUCGAUACACUUGUUACUAUUAUAUAUAUAUAUAUGUAUAUAUACACAUAUAAAUCCGUACAACUCGAUGGCCGAAAUGAAGAGGCCACCUAUCUUAUCCCUCCUCCCCCGUUAAAUCCACCCCUACUGUGUCUACUAAGCUGCUCGACUGCCCUUAAAGACAAACGGAACCCCCGAGAUAAAGUCGUACGAACGAACGGAAGACUGGACAACAAGUUACCGUAAUCCCUUAACGUUGACUUAACGCCAUAACGUUUCAUUUCUUACCUCUCUUCCCUCUCUUUCUCUCUUUCUUUUCGUCUCACUCAACGUUCGUAACCGUUGAAAUAUUUCCUCGAGACGGUUUCUAAGUCGCUUUUUUCACGCGCAUCCCCUCUCCUCGCGUUUACGUGCCUCGCAUUGUUGCCAAUGUUUCCGAUAUACGGGGCGAUAAACCGACGUGUAAAUAUACGUCGGACGAUUCUAAAUACGUGGCAAACUUGCGAAGAAAGAUCUGAAGGAAAGAAAGAGAGAGAGAGAAAGUUUCUUUUUUUUUUAAAAAGAACUCGAUCGACAAUUGUUAAAUAUUCGUUCGGGAUAUUCGUUCCACGUUGCGUUCUCGCUAUAAAUCACGUAAAGUUUUUCUAAUAUAACGUUACGUUUCUUGCUCAAGUUUUCUUGCUCUGGAAAUUCAAGAUUUCAGGAAGAAAGUUCGAGAAGUGGAUACGUUACGUGCGGGGAAUGAAAUGUCUUUGGAUAUUCGAGGAGUGUUCGAAAUGGUAUUACUUCUUGUAAUAAUGAUAAUGAUGAUGAUGAUGUGCGGAAUGAUCGAACGUGUGUUUCUUGUUAUUUCUACGAUACCUUCGAUAUUUUCAAAAUAUCCUUUCCAGUUUUAUCCUCCUCGUUGCACGAAAUUCUUGUUUUUAUUGUAGCUUCGAAACAUCAAAUUUUGCAUAAAACUUCGAUGACGAGCAUUAUGUUCGUUUCAAUCGAAAAAAUACAGAGAGUCGUUCUAAAAUUUUCUACGAUAAAAAAUCGAAGAUAAAGAGUCGAUUAUUCUUGAAACUUAAGAAGAAAGAAAAAGUAUCGACUUUCAAACUUUAUCAACUAUUCCUCAAACGGAGAUCCUCGAAAUAUCGCGUCUCGAUAUCUUCUUCGAUUACAAAUUAAAAAUAUCUUCCUCCUCCAUCGACUUUGAACAACUUUCUUAAGCUCGAAAAGAGCUUAAAGAAAGAAGGAAAGAAAGAAAGACAACCGAACGAUCGAUCCCCAAAACUCGAAAUUUGGAAAUUUCAAUCCAAUAGAACGACGUGUAAGAGAUUUACACCGAGACCAUUCUUGCCAUAAUCUCGACAUAAAUCGUUUCUCCUCGUAAAUCCUUCCCUCCCCGCUUAAACUGCUUAAAAUUACUCUCAUGGGAGGAGGAGGGAAGAGAGGAGGAGAUAUCCGAUAACGCGAAGCGUUCAUAGAAAUUCAUAUUCCGCGAGAAAGACAGUCCAUUUCGGGACUCGUGGUUCGCGCCUCGACCAGAUUUCACGAUCCUUCUUCAACUUCUGCAAACACCUACAUAUCUACACACACAUAUAUCCUGAAUAUUUUCCAACCCUUAAAGCUCGCCUUAUCUCUCUUCCCCUUCGUGCUUCUCCACACGAAUGCAAGAGGAGGAGGAGGAGGAGGUAUUUCGAAGGAGGUUGUCGCGGGCGUGAUAUCGAAUUGCGUAGUCAUACGUGAAGGCAGACGGAUGCGGCGCACAGAUCGCCCCGAGGAAAUUCAGAUCGUGGCGUAACUGUCCUAGAGAUUUCGAGAGAACGAGAGGGAACGAGAGACAACGAGAGAUAACGAGAAAGAACGAGAAGGAGCGAGAAAGUACGAGAGGGAACGAGAGACAACGAGAGAUAACGAGAAGGAACGAGAGAGAACGAGAAGGACCGAGAGAGAACGAGAAGGAGCGAGAAAGAACGAGAAGGACCGAGAAAGAACGAGAA